UACGUAGGGGGCAAGCGUUAUCCGGAUUUACUGGGUGUAAAGGGAGCGUAGACGGUCCUGCAAGCCAGAUGUGAAAGCCCGGGGCUCAACCCCGGGACUGCAUUUGGAACUGUAAGGCUAGAGUGUCGGAGAGGCAGGCGGAAUUCCUAGUGUAGCGAUGAAAUGCGUAGAUAUUAGGAGGAACACCAGUGGCGAAGGCGGCCUGCUGGACGAUGACUGACGUUGAGGCUCGAAAGCGUGGGGAGCAAACAGG
rnacentral:rRNA from 1 species